ACCCCAUCCCCAGGUGAUCUAGAACCUAGAGCUCCUAACAGCAGCGACCUGAAGAGGAAGCUUGUUCGAUGUGUGGGAUUUCCAGGCCUCAUUCCAGACUGGAUGACUCAAAAUGUACACAGCAACAAGAUCUCCAGGUCGCCAUUUGGUCGUUAAAGUUUGAGAAGCAGUUGCGCAGCCCAGCUGUCAAGAAGCCAUGGCAGGAGAAGUGAGAGAAGCAGAGAGCCGCUUUCCAUGAAAGAGGCGGAAGGAGUAGAGCCACACACCGAGGCCAAAGCAGGAGCUCUUCAGUCCUAAGCCUCCAAGGCGUCUUAGGACUUGACUCCUUACCUCUCCACUCUAAGCUGAUACAUGAGCAAUCGAACCCACACAGCACAGGAGGACAACCCAUAGGCACCACAGACUGUCUGUUUUUAUCCCUGAAGGGCUGGCUGGGGGCAGGGCCAAGAACAGAUCGCUUCGGGGCAAGAACCGCGGGGAGAAAAAGAAAGAACUGAAAUAAAGGUUAGUUACGAAGUGAAAUAA